rnacentral:rRNA from 1 species
GACGAACCGUGCGAACGUUGUUCGGAAUCACUGGGCUUAAAGGGCGCGUAGGCGGGUGUGCAAGUCUGUGGUGAAAGCCUCCAGCUUAACUGGAGAAGUGCCGUGGAUACUGCACAUCUUGAGGAGGGUAGGGGCAUCUGGAACGGUCGGUGGAGCGGUGAAAUGCGUUGAUAUCGACCGGAACUCCGGUGGCGAAGGCGAGGUGCUGGACCUUUCUGACGCUGAGGCGCGAAAGCCAGGGGAGCAAACGGG